rnacentral:rRNA from 1 species
UAGAGUUUGAUCCUGGCUCAGAUUGAACGCUGGCGGCAGGCUUAACACAUGCAAGUCGAGCGGAUGAGAGUAGCUUGCUACUUGAUUCAGCGGCGGACGGGUGAGUAAUACUUAGGAAUCUGCCUAUUAGUGGGGGACAACGUUUCGAAAGGAACGCUAAUACCGCAUACGCCCUACGGGGGAAAGCAGGGGAUCACUUGUGACCUUGCGCUAAUAGAUGAGCCUAAGUCGGAUUAGCUAGUUGGUGGGGUAAAGGCCUACCAAGGCGACGAUCUGUAGCGGGUCUGAGAGGAUGAUCCGCCACACUGGGACUGAGACACGGCCCAGACUCCUACGGGAGGCAGCAGUGGGGAAUAUUGGACAAUGGGGGGAACCCUGAUCCAGCCAUGCCGCGUGUGUGAAGAAGGCCUUAUGGUUGUAAAGCACUUUAAGCGAGGAGGAGGGUACCUUGGUUAAUACCCAAGAGUAUCGGACGUUACUCGCAGAAUAAGCACCGGCUAACUCUGUGCCAGCAGCCGCGGUAAUACAGAGGGUGCAAGCGUUAAUCGGAUUUACUGGGCGUAAAGCGUGCGUAGGCGGCUAAUUAAGUCGGAUGUGAAAUCCCCGAGCUCAACUUGGGAAUUGCAUUCGAUACUGGUUAGCUAGAGUAUGGGAGAGGAUGGUAGAAUUCCAGGUGUAGCGGUGAAAUGCGUAGAGAUCUGGAGGAAUACCGAUGGCGAAGGCAGCCAUCUGGCCUAAUACUGACGCUGAGGUAU